UACGAAGGGGGCUAGCGUUGCUCGGAAUCACUGGGCGUAAAGCGCACGUAGGCGGAUUCUUAAGUCAGGGGUGAAAUCCCGGGGCUCAACCCCGGAACUGCCUCCAAAACUGCUGGUCUGGAGGUCGAGAGAGGUGAGUGGAAUUCCGAGUGUAGAGGUGAAAUUCGUAGAUAUUCGGAGGAACACCAGUGGCGAAGGCGGCUCACUGGCUCGAUACUGACGCUGAGGUGCGAAAGCGUGGGGAGCAAACAGG
rnacentral:rRNA from 1 species